UAAUACGGAGGGUGCGAGCGUUAAUCGGAAUUACUGGGCGUAAAGGGUGCGUAGGUGGUUUAUUAAGUUAUCUGUGAAAUUCCUGGGCUUAACCUGGGCAGGUCAGAUAAGACUGGUAGACUGGAGUAUGGGAGAGGGUAGUGGAAUUUCCGGUGUAGCGGUGAAAUGCGUAGAGAUCGGAAGGAACACCAGUGGCGAAGGCGGCUACCUGGCCUAAUACUGACACUGAGGCACGAAAGCGUGGGGAGCAAACAGG
rnacentral:rRNA from 1 species